rnacentral:rRNA from 1 species
AUUGAACGCUGGCGGCAUGCCUUACACAUGCAAGUCGAACGGUAACAGGUUAAGCUGACGAGUGGCGAACGGGUGAGUAAUACAUCGGAACGUGCCCAGCCGGGGGGGAUAGCUCGGAGAAAGCCGGAUUAAUACCGCAUGUGAUCUGAGGAUGAAAGCGGGGGACCGUAAGGCCUCGCGCGUUUGGAGCGGCCGAAGGCAGAUUAGGCAGUUGGUGGGGUAAAGGCUUACCAAGCCUACGAUCUGUAGCUGGUCUGAGAGGACGACCAGCCACACUGGGACUGAGACACGGCCCAGACUCCUACGGGAGGCAGCAGUGGGGAAUUUUGGACAAUGGGCGAAAGCCUGAUCCAGCAAUGCCGCGUGCAGGAUGAAGGCCUUCGGGUUGUAAACUGCUUUUGUACGGAACGAAAAGGCGCCUACUAAUACUGGGUGUUGAUGACGGUACCGUAAGAAUAAGCACCGGCUAACUACGUGCCAGCCGCCGCAGUAAAAC